CACCGUUGAGCCCACUCUCAAGUGUACAUUGUCGUGACGCCUGCUAUUCAAGUGUUACAGUUCGUGUGGCGCGCCGCGGCCUUUUCUUGGCACCGUGAGCUUUAAUUGGGGAGCGUUUCUCACCUUCCUUGCGCGCCCGUGCUCUGAAGAACACCAUCAAGUGUGACCGAGACAAGUUGGAUGGGCAUCGGGACCUUCUUUUGUCUAAACGUCUGACCUGGAUCUAUAUUGUUCGCGCGAGUGGUCGACGCAGUCGUCAUCGCAAGCGUGCUUCGAGUAAGCCCGCCUUCGAACUCUUCGCGCAGACGGCGAAAUCGCUCAUUGUCCACGAAGUGCCUCGCUGCCCUGCUCUUCUUCAGCCACCGGAGACAGUUCGGCGAGCAUCGCAGUUUUGUUCGGCACACAGUGCACCCUUCAGCAAAGCACUUCCCAGCGUGCAGUCACACCCCUUCACCCUCUUCGACCCCGUCGCCUCCCUCGCCUUGUGCCUCGGGAGUGAUCGUCUCUUUCUUGCCCCAUUUUACGUCUUUAACGCCACUGUUGUAGUUCUCAGAUCUGUGAUUGUGAAGUUGGCCGGCGACUCGGCCCUAUACUAGCGCACCUGCGCGAACCUUCGGAUUAAGGUAACCGCGUUCCCACGGGCCUCGGAGUCGCGGCUCUGUGCGUGAGUGUCGGGUUGCUGUGUGUGUUGUGCUUCGUGGUGAGAUGGUGCGGUGAGCGUGCGGCCCGAAGCAGCCAUGUCUGAGUUGGUGGCCAGGGCCGCGAAGAUCGCGGCCGGAUGCCUGACCCGCCGCUCCAAGCGCUACGACUUGGCCAAGGUGCACGCCAGGGGAUGCAUCGCGGCCGCAGCCCCUCCUCAGCCUCAAGACACCUGGGUUACUGUACAUAAUGUUAAAAGCUGUAAUGACGGGGGCAUCCUGGAUCUUGAUGACCACCUCAAUGACGUCGUCGAUGACAGGGAACAAAUCAUAGCCGUGUUUGAAGAGCAGUCAUCUCCCUGCCCAACUCAUAAUGCUGGAGACGGGACCAGCGCUAGUUCCGUGGGCACGGAGAGCCCCGACAUCUUCCACUGCAACGAGCUGAACCACAAUGGAGGCAUCAAGGGUGGUUCCAGCUACGUCGACGUGGAGGAAAUUACCGCAGACAAGCUUCCAGUGGGCGUCGCUCCCCUUCAGGUACGAAGGGGCAGUGAGCCGACGCUAAAUCGUCUUUCACCAGUUUCAUCUGAACCCGAUCCCAGCAAGAGGUGGUCAGCAGCUGUUGUUGUGGAUGACCUGUCGCUUACUCGAGACGUGAAGGAGAAUGGCAGCCUGUCAGACAAUGAGCUGCAGCCUCCUCCCCCACCUGGUGAGAGGGGUGAGGGAAGUGGCGGCGAAGAGAAGUCUAACGCGGGUACACUGUCGCGCAUUUCUCGGGGCUCUGGACGACUGUCCAUGCUGGGUAACAACCCCCACAUGCUUCGGUGGGCAGAGGCAGCUGACCGGCAGCUCUACAAGUUUCAAGACAGCAGGAAAGAACCGCUGGGCAGUGCUGGCUCUUCUCCUGACAGGGACAGUGCAGCUUCGUCAGGGAGCAGCCACGAAGAAAGGGACUCUAUAGUCGUACUCAAGAAUGAGGCUGGUCCACUGGGCAUCCAUGUUGUUCCGGAACAAGGCAGUGGGGGAAGGGACAUGGGCCUGGUGAUCCAGGGCAUUGAGCCUGGCGGCCGAAUAGACCGGGAUGGCCGGCUGCGGGUCGGCGACACCAUUGUGGAGGUCAAUGGCCGGAGCCUCCUGCACCUGAGUUUCCAGGCUGCACAGCAAGUGUUCAAGGAGGCGCUACAGUCUCAAGAAAUCUGCCUGCACCUGUCACGGCGGAGGCCGGCACAUUCAGGUUCCUCUCCCAUGUCAUCACCUCCUCCUCCUUUGCCCCUGUCACUGCCUCCGUCCCUGUCAUCAACACAAAGUAGCAGUGACGCUGGUUUUUCUUCUGUAACAUCCUCAAUGCAAAGCCCACCCAAGAGGCCGCCCCCGCCUCCAUUCCGCAAGGAUCCAUCUGAAGGGCUCAACAACGGUGUCGUCAACGGUCUCGUUGAGGGAGAGGAGAGGAGUGGUCUCAACAGUAAGGUGGCAACAGUGACGCCAACAAAAAAACUUCCGCCGCCUCCACCUUCUGCCACUGCCAAUGGACGAUCAACAGCUUCGAGCCUCAAUGUUGCCAACACGCGUAAGAUCGGCCGCAAGGUGCACAUAAAGUUGGUCAAGGGGCCCGAGGGAUUGGGCUUCAGUGUGACGACGCGAGACAACCCAGCUGGCGGGAACUGCCCCAUCUACAUCAAGAACAUCUUGCCUCGUGGCGCAGCCAUUGAUGAUGGCCGGCUCAGGCCGGGUGACCGGUUACUUGAGGUGAAUGGUGUAGAAAUGACAGGCCGGUCACAAACUGAUGCUGUCACAAUAUUGAGAAAUGCGCCACCUGGGAGCACUGUGGAAUUGGUUGUCUCCAGGCAGGAGCCUGACCCCUCACCUAGUCCUGGUCUUCCACGAGAAAUUCCCCCUGAGAAAGCUGGUGAUGAAGUCGGCAUUUUCCCUUGGCGUCAGAAGGAAAUUUUGACGCUUGACAUUCCACUCAAUGACACCGGUUCGGCUGGCCUUGGCGUAAGUGUCAAGGGCAAAACGUCGACUGGUGCCAGCACACCUGUCGACCUGGGCAUCUUCGUCAAAUCAGUGAUCCACGGCGGUGCUGCAUCUAAGGAUGGGCGCUUACGUACGAAUGACCAGCUACUCAACAUCAAUGGCAUCUCACUCCUGGGCAUGACCAACAGCCAAGCCAUGGAGACACUGCGUCGUGCCAUGACCCAAGGCGAGGGGCCCAACCCAAAUGCCAUCACCCUCACCAUAGCACGACGAGUGCCCUCGCAAGACGUUGCUGAAAACCUCAGGUUCGAGGAGGGCUUCCUGUCCAGUGGGGACUCGUUCUCGGUACACCUGCGAUCAGACUCGCUGCUCAGCUCAGACUCGACGGCUGCCUCCUCGUCCUGUGAAAACCUCUCGGUCUCAGGGGGCAGUGGUCGGACACCGGACCACUCCACAAGUGGCAACUCUGAAAACACUGUGGUCUACGUGCCCAAGCAGCCGCCUCCACCACCUGUGCACGAAUAUGGCUAUGGAAGGAAUCCCGUGCUGGAGCGGCUUAUGGGCCAGAGUUCUGGCACAUUGCCGUCCAACCUUCGCAACGAGUCAUACCUGCGUGCCAGUCAUGACAGCUGGCUCUCCGAACGGCACAGCCGGCAUCACACGGCGCCUCGCACCGCGCCCAACCACCGGCCCACUCCAUUGUCCCCCAACACCAGCCGGGUACCCGCAGACACGGUGCAGAUAGAGGACGACUACCCGAGCUGCUUGCGCGGUGGGGACACCUCUGUUCCACCCAUGACACCAGUUGAAGAAGAAGCCCCAACACCUACUCUUGGUCAUGAGAACAACAACCUCAAUCAGAGCGAGUUGUCCCUGGUAGACGGUGGCACCUUUUGUCGAGACGGCUUUGGCCGGCAGAGCAUCUCAGAGAAGAGGCAUGCCCACCUUGACGCUCGCAACACAGACACCUACAAGCGCAACAAGCGGACGCGAGAAGAACAGGAGAAGGCGAAUGCUCGGCAACAGCAAACUGAGGUCAAGACGUCAAUUUCACCCCCAACAAUCGGCAAUGGGUCACAUAGAGAUGUGGCUGAGCCUCGACGGCCCACGGCACUAAAUGGGAAGGAGCAGCACAAUGGCAACCUGAUGCGGUCCAACUCGGCGGAUUCCCUGUUGAGUCAUUCCAAGUCGCAUGGCGCCACUGAAUCCACAUAUCUAGUCAAAUGUCGGCAAGUGAGCAAGGUGCAUAGGAAUCCCUUGUUCUUCUAUCCAGCUUGUUGCUUUAUGGUGAAUGGUGACUCGCCAAGCACGGAUGCCAGCUGCCACACGACCAACACAACUGUGACCAAGAGCAACCACAGUGGCAGUGGCAAUGGCACAGUGCAGCUGGUGGGUCCUUCAUUGGGCAUGCGCAAGUCGAGCAGCCUCGAAAGUCUUCAGACUCUCAUGGUCCAGGGGCCAGAUGGCACUGUCAUGGCUUCCACAUCGCAGAAUCCCCGGCAAGAGCGUGGUGCCAGAGGCUGCAACGAGAGCUUCCGCGCAGCUGUUGACCGUUCUUAUGACGGGCCAAGCGCCGCUGGGACGCAGAAUUCUGCUGACCAAAUGGAAACACUGGAGGAGGAAAAGGAGAGUGAGACUGGCAGCGCAACAAGUGCCGAGCAUCGAGGUGGCUGCCCACUGCAUUCAGUCACGGUGCCUUUGGAUGCCCGCGAAGCUGCUGCCUACGCCAGCAAGGACACGGCUUCCUCUAAGCCAACACAGCGAAAGAAAGGGUUGCUCAAAGGUCUUGGCAGCGUGUUCAGUAGGUUUGGCAAGAACCGAAAGACGAUUCCGGAGCCGGGCUCCAAGCUCUCCCGAGAAGAACUCGAGCAAGAGGCAGAGCGUUUGCGAGCUAGGCAAGCAGCACGGGAUGAACAAGAACGCAUUCAAGAACAGUACAGGAAGCUGUUGGAACAGCAGCAGCAGCAACAGCAGCAGCAACAACAAGAGCAACAGCAGCGACAGCAACAGCAGCCAUCACAUCAGCACAUGCAGCCUUCCCAUCAGCCACCAUUGCCACCCUUGCCAACACAGCAGCAGCAGUACCAGCAGCACCAUCACUUUCAGAAUCAGCGUGGGCCUGUCCAACAUCAGCAGCCCCCGUGCUCGGUCUCCUCACCACCACCAUGUCCAAGCAGAAGCACGCCAACCACCACAAGUGCAGCGUCACGUCAGGAACGCAUGCAGCUGCUGAGAGCCCAGCACCAAAAGCGGCAUGUGGAGCGACAAGGCCACUAUCCACGAGACGACCUUGAAGAGUGGUAUGAGCAAGACCUACAACACAAGAUGCUGCGCAGCCCCGUGCCUCCGCAAGGCCGUCCUCUGCCGCCUGUGCCACACGCCUUGCCGCCACCUGCCUAUGGCACAUGCGGCUAUGCGCAGAGGGCAAUCCCUAAGGUACUACCACUUUGCCCACUCACAUGGGACCUCUCCUCCUUGACUGUAAAAAGGACAUGUUAUACUACUCAGAAGCGCACACAAUCUGUAAUGUAUGCAAGCUGUGUAUACUGUAAUAAACCAUUGGCUAACAGUUACACUAUGAGACGAGAGAGUGAUGUUGUCCACUCAAGGUCACAAAGUUUCGACAUAUUUAAGGAAAUGGAACGGCCAGGAAGCCGUGUUGGACUUGUAGACCCAACCCAGUACAGCCACUACGUCAACUUCAACGAGAUUCAGCUACACCUUCGGCAGUUCCAGCAGAAGCAGCAACAGCAGCAGCAGCAGCAGCAGCAGCAACAGCAGGUCUCUUCACAGUCUCGUGAUCCCACGUGCAGCAGUUCAUCACAGCCAGUGCCUCCACCACCGAUGUCCAAUCGGUCUCGUUCAGAACGCCCGUCAUCGAACUACUUUGAAUAUGAGACCGUCCAGGGCACUCCUUCAAAACCUCAAAAGGAGAGGAACGGCAUGGGACCCACGGAGUCGAGUUCACUCCCACGACACGCACACGUGGCCGGGCAUCGUAUGGUGUAUGCAAAGACGGUACCAACGCAACAGACAAUGCUACCCCCCCACAGUUCUCUGGGUAGUGGCAAUGGUGGUGUGAUGAUCAAGACUGUUCCGCGCGCUGCUCCGCGGGCGCAUCUCCAAACGGUGGCCGGCUACAGGAAUUCGCCAAACCACUUGUCACAGGUCUACGGCAUCACGUCGCGUCAUGACAUUGGACAACAGAUGCCUGGCUCCAAAGUGUGAAUGUUCCAGUGCUGCGUUCGGCCCUGUUGCGUCUUCAUUAUUAUUAUUUUUAAUUGUCGUGCUGUAUGAACACUAAGACACACGAGUGUAUAGCACUGGCAUUGAUUUCCACCAGUACCUCAUACCUCAGUGAUGUUCAUUUCGUGCAGAAAGCAGUGUGCGAUAUGGUUGGCUGGACCAGAAGAGUCAUCCGUCCGAGCUCGGCACCACUGCGGCUUGCCCUGUUGCCAUGCCCGAGCUAAUUUCUCUCUCUAUAUUUUCUAUUUCAAAUACGCGUGCAUCGCUAUUCAUGUUGCUAGCUGCACUGAGUUGAACAUUAAAGAAAAAGCGUGCCAUUUUUAUGCGAGGUAGUGACAACAGGAGGCGAAACUGAAUAGGAGCACCACUACCUCUGCUAUGCGUCCAGUGCUGUGUACUGUGUAGUGCCGACACAAGUGCAGCUGAUCGUAUUUUUAGAAUGCAAUUUUGUAUUGUUGUGAAAGCUACAUAGUGUGUUGUAAGGAAAUUGUUGCGUUUACGGCCAAUGAAAGACACCCUUUUUUUUCUUUACUAACAAACAGGAACAAAAGAAUGUGCAGGUGCCUUGCUGACUAUGUGUUUGUAAGAAUGUUUUCAUCUGCAUAAUUGUAAGGUGUUUGAUGAAAUCGUGCAACUCAUGGCCUUACAUUUGCUGUGAUGGGAGGAAAGUUAUGUUGAGUUCUCACACAUUGCUGGUGUUCAGCUGAUUUGUUCAGCUUGUUUCAUGUAUUUACCAUUCAUUAAUCUUCCCAUCAAGAAAAACUGUGCGCAUUGUAAGUGCGGGCCUUUUUCUCACAUGAAAUGUUGCUUUUUUUUUAUUGUUUUGUCCUUUGUAUAUACGUGUUUCUCUGUCUACUUUUUUUUAUGAUAAUUUUUUUUAUUGUUAUUGAAUGUGGCAGUGUGGCCUACGACAGCGUAAUCACGCCUUAGCACAUAUCUCUGCACCCUUUAUACAAGGCUGCGCAGCAGGACCGUUCAUUCCUGUUCUUUCUUGUAUCUUGUAAAAUUUUUCUAUGACAGUUUAUAUAUAUAAAUGAGAAAACAUCUUUUUAGGACAAGCCUUUGUAAGUCUGAUUCUACACUCAUUUUCCAUUUGAACGUACAGAAUAAAGAGGAAUGUACAGUUGA